rnacentral:piRNA from 1 species
UGGAAUUGUAUUCUUAAAUGUGUUUAU